GACGAACGCUGGCGGCGCGCCUAACACAUGCAAGUCGAACGAGCAAAGAGGAGCUUGCUUCUCUGAGCGAGUGGCGAACGGGUGAGUAACGCGUGAGGAACCUGCCUCAAAGAGGGGGACAACAGUUGGAAACGACUGCUAAUACCGCAUAAGCCCACGGGUCGGCAUCGACCAGAGGGAAAAGGAGCAAUCCGCUUUGAGAUGGCCUCGCGUCCGAUUAGCUAGUUGGUGAGGUAACGGCCCACCAAGGCGACGAUCGGUAGCCGGACUGAGAGGUUGAACGGCCACAUUGGGACUGAGACACGGCCCAAACUCCUACGGGAGGCAGCAGUGGGGGAUAUUGCACAAUGGAGGAAACUCUGAUGCAGCGACGCCGCGUGAGUGAAGAAGUAUUUCGGUAUGUAAAGCUCUAUCAGCAGGGAAGAUAAUGACAGUACCUGACUAAGAAGCCCCGGCUAACUACGUG
rnacentral:rRNA from 1 species